rnacentral:tRNA from 5 species
UCCGGCGUAGCUCAGUUGGUAGAGCAAGCGACUGUUAAUCGCUGGGUCACAGGUUCGAGUCCUGUCGCCGGAGCCA